rnacentral:lncRNA from 1 species
CUGAAAUCUAAAAAACCCUGUAAUUUCACAACCACUUUGGAAAGACAUAAAGCAGGUUCUGCUGACAAAGCAGCCAGUCCCUGUCUCCUCUCUUCAAGUAUUCGUUCUUUCUAGUGGCACCCCACAUUUCUACUGGCACAAAUGGUAUUCGUGUAGCUACAUGCCAAAGCUUCUGAAGGUUAUACCAGCUUAAAGUGUUGUGGUUUAAGCCCAGAAGGCAGCUCAGUAUCACACAGCUGCUCACUCACCCUCCUCAGCCCUCUUCAGGUUCUCUUUGUCUUUGUUCAAACAAACAAUCCCCAGAGAAGAUUUACAAGAGGUCUAAGGUGGAGAGAUGUUCUCAACAUCAAUGAUAAUGGGAAGACUUACAGCAGUUGUGAGUCUCAUUAUCACUACAUAUAUUUGAGGUAGAAUCUGAUAUAGAAUGUGUUUCUAUUUAAAAUUUUCUAAACCAAUUUUCUAAAGAGCAGCAGCUACUUUUACCUACAAUUUGUCUGAGAUUUCAAGAUCCCUUGAUCACAGCCAAAAGACUUGUCGUUCUUGCUUUAGAGUGGGAAUCACUGUUGUUUUCAUAGUAGUUCUUCAGCUGGCAGAGAAAGGCAAAAAAAGAAGUCAAGAGAUGGAAGAUGCAGCUAAACAAUUGGACUAGGAAUACACAGACUGAAAAGGAAGAGUUGGCUGGUAUACAUUUUUUAUUUCUUCAGACAAAGGUUGGUCUUCUGAUUUGAUUUCUUCAGAUCAGGGUUGGAUGCCCUUUCUUGAAGAUCGAUUUUACUCAAAUACAAAGUUAUUGACCUCAGCAAAACAAUAUGUGGAUGCAAACCUAGUUUAAAUGAGCAACAUACAGCUGCAAUCGCCUCACAUAAACAACGAGAGUAACUACACACAUCAGGUCUAGCACAUAAGCUUUCUGCCCUUCUCCUAUUCUGACUUUUCUUUGAGAAACCUGACCUGAGGUGUUACUGAAUGAAUGAAAUACUUUAUGUCUUGUGCUUAUGACUGGUGUCAUAAAUGAAAUCUGCCAAAAAAAAAAAAAAAAAAAAAAGAUAUUUUUUCUCCAAACUUAAAAUUUACCCAUCUAUAAUUAUCAUUAACUUUUCUAACUCUACAUAGAAGCAAAUAUUAUAUUCAAUCAAAACAAUACCAUGUGCUUCAUCUAAUAUGAAAUGCACAAUUUUAGUGUUGUUUAAAAUGCUGGAACACUCCUG